ACGGAGGUUGCGAGCGUUGUUCGGAAUUACUGGGCGUAAAGGGAGCGCAGGCGGUCCGGUCAGUCUAAAGUGAAAUCCCGGGGCUUAACCUUGGAAGUGCUUUGGAUACUGCCGGACUUGAGUACGUGAGAGGAGGGCAGAAUUCCAGGUGUAGCGGUGAAAUGCGUAGAUAUGUGGAGGAACACCGGUGGCGAAGGCAGCCCCCUGGGACAAAACUGACGCUGAUGCUCGAAAGCGUGGGGAGCAAACGG
rnacentral:rRNA from 1 species